AACGAACGCUGGCGGCAGGCUUAACACAUGCACGUCGAACGCCCCGCAAGGGGAGUGGCAGACGGGUGAGUAACGCGUGGGAAUCUACCGUACCCUACGGAACAACAGUUGGAAACGACUGCUAAUACCGUAUACGCCCUACGGGGGAAAGAUUUAUCGGGGUAUGAUGAGCCCGCGUUGGAUUAGCUAGUUGGUGGGGUAAAGGCCUACCAAGGCGACGAUCCAUAGCUGGUCUGAGAGGAUGAUCAGCCACAUUGGGACUGAGACACGGCCCAAACUCCUACGGGAGGCAGCAGUGGGGAAUAUUGGACAAUGGGCGCAAGCCUGAUCCAGCCAUGCCGCGUGAGUGAUGAAGGUCUUAGGAUUGUAAAGCUCUUUCACCGAUGAAGAUAAUGACGGUAGUCGGAGAAGAAGCCCCGGCUAACUUCGUGCCAGCCGCCGCCGUAA
rnacentral:rRNA from 1 species